AGCCGAGCCGAGCCGAGUCGAGUCGAGUCGAGUCGAGUGCGGCCCACGGUGCCGACAUGGUGUUGCUGGAGCCCGCCGGGGCGCCGAGUCUGUCGACUGCGGCGGGAGGGGUCGGUGAUGCCGCCGCCGUGGUACAGCUGUCCCGGCUUCGCUGGGCCGUGCUGCUGCUCUUCAGCAGCUACUCCCUGUGCAACGCCUUCCAGUGGAUCCAGUACGGCAGCAUCAACAACGUCUUCGUGCGCUUCUACGACGUGAGCGCCUUCGCCAUCGACUGGCUUUCCAUGAGCUACAUGCUCAUCUACAUCCCCCUGCUCUUCCCUGUCGCCUGGCUGCUGGACAAGAGGGGCCUGCGCUUCAUCGCCCUGGCUGCCUCGGCCCUCAAUGCUAUGGGUGCCUGGGUGAAGCUGGGCAGCCUGAAGCCGCACCUCUUCCCCGUCACUGUCCUGGGACAGGUCAUCUGUGGCCUGGCCCAGGUCUUCAUCCUGGGCAUGCCCUCACGCAUCGCCUCGGUCUGGUUUGGCUCCCACGAGGUCUCCACUGCCUGCUCCAUUGCGGUCUUUGGCAACCAGCUUGGCAUUGCUGCAGGCUUUCUGGUCCCUCCAGUUCUGAUCCCUAAUGUGGAGGAUGUGGAGAAGCUGGCCUACCACAUCAGCAUCAUGUUCUUCAUGACUGCAGGUGUGGCAUCAGCCCUGUUCAUCCUGGUCAUCAUAGUCUUCAAAGAGAAGCCUCCGAACCCUCCAAGCCGAGCUCAGGCCUUGAUCCAGUCAAGACCGACUGUGGAGUAUUCCUACAUGCAAUCAAUCCUCCGCCUGCUCCGCAAUGCCAACUUUUUGCUGCUUAUGGUCACUUAUGGUCUGAAUGUAGGUUGUUUCUACGCCUUGUCCACUCUGCUGAACCGCAUGGUGAUCCAUCACUACCCAGGGGAGGAGGUGAAUGCUGGCAGGAUUGGACUCACCAUUAUACUGUCGGGGAUGGUUGGGGCUCUGAUCUCCGGCAUCUGGUUGGACAAAACCAAAACAUACAAGCAAACAACUCUAGUUGUCUAUAUCAUGUCUCUGGUGGGAAUGAUAGUCUAUACCUUCACUCUGAACCUGGGCCACCUCUGGGUGGUCUUUGUGACUGCUGGGUUUCUGGGGUUUUUCAUGACAGGAUACCUUCCUCUGGGUUUUGAGUUUGCUGUGGAGUUGACAUACCCAGAAUCAGAAGGAACAUCAUCAGGGCUCCUUAAUGUCUCAGCACAGAUUUUUGGUAUUGCCUUCACCAUUAGCGAAGGGCAAGUCAUGGAUCGCUUUGGGACAAAGGCAGGAAACCUCUUGCUUUGUUCUGUCCUGUUCCUGGGGACUGUUAUGACAGCAUUCAUUAAGGCUGAUCUCCGAAGACAACGGGCCAAUUUGGAAAAUGAACAGACAAGACUCCAAGGCAGCAAUCAGAUCAUGGAUUAUGGGACUGUAGCUUGUAAAUCUAACCCCAUCACUUGUCACUCCUGCUCACUAGCUUAAACACACCAAGUGAGUAAACUCAGAGCCCAGGCUGCAGGAGACUCCACAUUCACCUUUACAAGUCUGAGUCCUGUCUUCUGAAUUGGUGACAGCUGGACUGUCUCACUAAAGUGUUGCCAGAAGCCUACACUAAUCCCGUAGUCCUUGAGGAAUCACGGCUGUGAAAUGAAGGGGUGGCAAAACUGGGAGAUACAGCCCCCCUCAUUCCUAUCUUUUCUACCUGCACCAUCCUCCUGUCACAUGCAUGCCAUGGGAGGGGAGCAGCCUCAGGACAGGAACCCUGUGGUUCCUUGUGGAGAGUGUGAAAGAGCAAAACAAGAAGGGGGUUGCUUUUGUCAGUUUUAUCCUUGCAUCAUGCUGUUUUGGUGUUUGGGAGAAAAAGUUGGGAAAAUGCUGUGUUCCCCCAAUCCCACCAUGUAUGCUUGGAAAAAGCAUAUAUGCUGAGAGGAAAAGCCACAGUACCAGGCUAACCCUGAGCAUGAUGGCUGUGAUGUGAAAGGCAGAAGCUGGAUCACACUUAAUUCUGUAAACAGCCCUGGAAAAGCUGGCUCUAUGGAAAAGGGAUUGCUCUGCCUUGGUUCCCCUGAUGCUCUGUGUUGCACAGGUAGUAGUAGAGGUCUCAAUACAUUACCAGCAAGUGCAAAGCAGUGUACCAGCUGCUGCCAGCUCUUGUUUUAUUAUUUGGCUUUCCCAGAUGAAGUACUCUUAAUCUGGAUAAACUUCUACUCAGAAUUCACAUCAGAAUGCCCGGAUGUUCCUACAUAUUAGGAGUCUGAUUAAGAUAUAAUUAUUAAAGAGAUACCAAUAUGCCUCCUUCUAGCUCAAGGCAAGGACUAGUUCUGCAGCCUAAAUCUAGCUCAUCACUACAUUAGCAACAAAAGUGAGUCGAACCACUAUUUCCCUGGGCUGAGGACUGUGUCUUCCUCAACAAUAAAGUGCCUUUUGCAUGUUUCAACAUUGCAUACAAACUUCUGUGAAGUGUUAUAUUGAGCACACCAGCCAAGGGUGUGUUGCUCUUCCACAGAGAGGGGUAUGAUGGGAAUCCAGCUUUGCUCGUGUGGAAGCUUCUCACUUCAUAAUAGAGAACAGGAGAAGGUGCCUACUUACCAGCAUUUGUGUCUUCCAGACACUGCCCAUCUGUAUGCUGUUUAUCUUCUAAACACAGCUGUAGAUCCUUUUAUCACUUCUCCAUCCUUUCCAGCAUCCCAGCCCUGCUGGAGACAUCAAGUGUCCUAAAACACCUUAAGUCAUGCUGUUACUUAUGUAUUAUUUGAGUCAGGGGACAAAAGCUGUACUGAAGUGAAAUGGCUAAAAAUAUUCCUCUCUGACAAACUAUUUUUGACAAAACAUUUUUUUGGAUGAAAUUUUAACAUUUUUUGAUACAUGACAUUUUGAUACAGCCUGAGUUCAGUAAGUGCUUAGACAACACUCUCAGGCAUGUGGUGUGAUUCUUAGGGGUCCUGUGCAGGGCCAGGAAUUGGACUGUGAUCCUGAUAAAUUCCUUCAAAUUCAGCAUAUUCUGUGACUGAAGUCCUAUCUUUGAUAGUUUGGGAUUGAGGAUGGGGUUUUAGAAUGAUUUUCAAUAGAAAUUUUAAUGUAAAAUAUAAACAUUUGAAGUGUACAAUGAAACCAGACAUAUUCAUAUUAAAUGAUUGAAAACA